GGUGAACGCUGGCGGCGUGCUUAAGACAUGCAAGUCGAACGGCAGUCUUCGGACUGUAGUGGCGCACGGGUGAGUAACGCGUAACUGACCUACCCCAAAGUCGCGGAUAACGAUUCGAAAGAAUCGCUAAUACGUGAUGUGCUGUCAGAUUGCGUUCUGCCAGUAAAGAUUGAUUGCUUUGGGAUGGGGUUGCGUUCCAUCAGCUAGUUGGUGGGGUAAAGGCCCACCAAGGCGACGACGGAUAGCCGGCCUGAGAGGGUGGCCGGCCACAGGGGCACUGAGACACGGGUCCCACUCCUACGGGAGGCAGCAGUUAGGAAUCUUCCACAAUGGGCGAAAGCCUGAUGGAGCGACGCCGCGUGAGGGAUGAAGGUCUUCGGAUCGUAAACCUCUGAAUCAGGGACGAAAGACACUUCGGUGGGAUGACGGUACCUGAGUAAUAGCACCGGCUAACUCCGUGCCAGCCGCCGCAGUAAGAC
rnacentral:rRNA from 1 species